rnacentral:rRNA from 1 species
GACGAACGCUGGCGGCGUGCUUAACACAUGCAAGUCGAACGGAAAGGCCCUGCUUUUGUGGGGUGCUCGAGUGGCGAACGGGUGAGUAACACGUGAGUAACCUGCCCUUGACUUUGGGAUAACUUCAGGAAACUGGGGCUAAUACCGGAUAGGAGCUCCUGCUGCAUGGUGGGGGUUGGAAAGUUUCGGCGGUAGGGGAUGGACUCGCGGCUUAUCAGCUUGUUGGUGGGGUAGUGGCUUACCAAGGCUUUGGCGGGUAGCCGGCCUGAGAGGGUGAACGGCCACAUUGGGACUGAGAUACGGACCAGACUCCUACGGGAGGCAGCAGUGGGGAAUAUUGCACAAUGGGCGGAAGCCUGAUGCAGCAACGCCGCGUGCGGGAUGACGGCCUUCGGGUUGUAAACCGCUUUCGCCUGUGACGAAGCGUGAGUGACGGUAAUGGGUAAAGAAGCACCGGCUAACUACGUG